UGGCUCUCGCAUCGAUGAAGAACGCAGCGAAAUGCGAUAAGUAAUGUGAAUUGCAGAAUUCAGUGAAUCAUCGAAUCUUUGAACGCACCUUGCACCCUUUGGUAUUCCGAAGGGUAUGCCUGUUUGAGUGUCAUUAAAAUAUCAAAUCUUUACUGUUAAUUCAGUAAAGACUUUGGAUAUGGAGGUAUUGUGUGGGCCUUUUACAAGGUCGGCUCCUCUCAAAUUCAUUAGCAGUGUCUAUUGUGCAUUAGCUACUGGUGUGAUAAUUAUCUACGCCUAUAUGCUAUAUCACAUCACAACUGUGAAAGACCCAGCUUCUAAUCGUCAGUUUGACAAUUACUUGACAUUUGACCUCAAAUCAGGUAGGACUACCCGCUGA
rnacentral:misc_RNA from 1 species